rnacentral:misc_RNA from 1 species
AACGCACAUUGCGCCCGGCAGUAAUCUGCCGGGCAUGCCUGUCCGAGCGUCAUUUCUGCCCUCGAGCCUGUCCAGCAUCUAGGUGCUGUCCCGGCCCGGCGUUGGGGCACUACGGGAAGCCUCGUGCUAUCCCCCGUAGGCCCCGAAAUGAAGUGGCGGUCCUGCCGCGGCUCCCCCUGCGUAGUAUUACAGCUCGCUUCGGGACCCGGUGGAGGCCUGCCGUCAAACCUUACUCUCUAAGUUUGACCUCGGAUCAGGUAGGGUUACCCGCUGAACUUAA